GGACCCGCACAAGUAGUGGAGCAUGUGGUUUAAUUCGACGCAACGCGAAGAACCUUACCUACACUUGACAUCCUCGGAACUUUCUAGAGAUAGAUUGGUGCCUUCGGGAACCGAGUGACAGGUGCUGCAUGGCUGUCGUCAGCUCGUGUCGUGAGAUGUUGGGUUAAGUCCCGUAACGAGCGCAACCCUUAUCCUUAAUUGCCAGCGGUUAGGCCGGGAACUCUAAGGAGACUGCCGAUGACAAAUCGGAGGAAGGUGGGGACGACGUCAAGUCAUCAUGGCCCUUACGUGUAGGGCUACACACGUGCUACAAUGGCCGGUACAAACGGUUGCGAACCCGCGAGGGGAAGCU
rnacentral:rRNA from 1 species